GACGAACGCUGGCGGCGUGCUUAACACAUGCAAGUCGAACGGAAAGGCCCUGCUUUUGUGGGGUGCUUGAGUGGCGAACGGGUGAGUAACACGUGAGUAACCUGCCCUUUACUUUGGGAUAACUUCAGGAAACUGGGGCUAAUACCGGAUAUGAUCUCCUGCUGCAUGGUGGGGGUUGGAAAGUUUCGGCGGUUGGGGCUGGACUCGCGGGUUAUCAGCUUGUUGGUGGGGUAGUGGCUUACCAAGGCUUGGACGGGUAGCCGGCCUGCGCGGGUGGCCGGCGACAUUAGGACUGAGGUACGGACCAGAAUGGUAUGGGAGGCAGCAGUGGGGAGUCUUGCACAAUGGCGGGAAGCGUGUGGCAGCAAUGCCGCGUGCGGGAUGCCGGCCUUUGGGUUAUAAACCGCUUUGGCCUGUACCGAAGGGUGAGUGACGGUAAUGGGUAAAGAAGCAACGGCUAACUACGUG
rnacentral:rRNA from 1 species